rnacentral:rRNA from 1 species
UUGUGAACUUAUACCUACUGUUGCCUCGGCGUCAGGCCGGCCUCCUCACCGAGGCCCCCCGGAGACGGGGAGCAGCCCGCCGGCGGCCAACUAAACUCUUGUUUCUAUAGUGAAUCUCUGAGUAAAAAACAUAAAUGAAUCAAAACUUUCAACAACGGAUCUCUUGGUUCUGGCAUCGAUGAAGAACGCAGCGAAAUGCGAUAAGUAAUGUGAAUUGCAGAAUUCAGUGAAUCAUCGAAUCUUUGAACGCACAUUGCGCCCCCUGGUAUUCCGGGGGGCAUGCCUGUUCGAGCGUCAUUUCAACCCUCAAGCCUGGCUUGGUGAUGGGGCACUGCUUCGAGAGGAGCAGGCCCUGAAAUUCAGUGGCGAGCUCGCCAGGACCCCGAGCGUAGUAGUUAUAUCUCGCUUUGGAAGGCCCUGGCGGUGCCCUGCCGUUAAACCCCCAACUUCUGAAAAUUUGACCUCGGAUCAGGUAGGAAUACCCGCUGAACUUAAGC